rnacentral:lncRNA from 1 species
AGCGCACGGUGCUGCCCAAACUCCCAACUCCAUGGAGCUCGGGCCACCGAGACUGGGGGCGUCCUCCCGCCAGCGCGUCCCCGGUCCCCCCAAGGGGCCAAGAGGGGAGCUGGCCAGGGUCUCCGCCCCAGAGCCGCCAACUCGCCGAAAACACUCAGGUUUGAAAGCGAGAGGGAGGCAGAAAUAAAAACCAGCGUUCGAGUCACCCACCCUCACCUUCCCCCUCCUCAGGGGUAAGCUUUCGCUCGAGCCUCGCGAUUCCCACCCGUGUAAGUUUCCUCCGGCCGUGCUCCCGCCGCUGCCCAAUCAAUAACGGCGGCUAGCGGGCAAACUCCCAUCCUAGAGCUGCGUGUUUGCCAUGCCCGCAUAAACGUGGACCCAGCCAGUACCCACCACGGGCGCCAGCUCCGGGCAGCUCGCGUCCUGACAAAGUUUCCCGUGCCCAUUUAUUAAGCAGGCGCCGAAUGGCUGCCGACAAGCCCAGCACUGAGAAAGACGGGCCGGGGGUUCGAGCUGGGGGGCACCAGGGCCCAAAGGCUGGCAUCUUGGGGAAGCCGGAAGGAGCUGGGGCGAGGGGGCACCGGGACGUAGCCUUUGGGCAACUUGCACCAGCGAUCGCUGGAGGCAGGGAGACGCGGGGAUUAUCUGUGCCUUAGCACGUUCGAAAAUCCCUCCCCCUCCUUCUA